AACGUCACUCUCCAAGGAAAAGUGUUCAAGUGAAGUUCACAGUGUAGCCGAAUAGAAAACCAGUUUUAACUAGUACAUAGAAAAUUUUCACUCUUGCAAACGCAAGCAGUAAUUGUAUCCAAAAAUGGAAAAGUGUAAAAAUCGUGUCGCAGACGAGCAGCAGCAGUACGAGUUUUGCAAAAUGACGCCAGGGCCCACGUAGUGUUUGUCCACGUCGGGCAUUAUUUGCUCUCGAGUUGGAAACAAAGAAACCAGACCCAGACCCACUGGAAAGAUGUGAUUAGUCAUCGAUUUUGCUGGUCAGCGUCGGUGAAUUUCGCAAUGCGGCAGGCAGUUUUCUCGAUUUUGGCUAGAAAGUGACCCCCUCCUAGGCAGUCUGAGGCAGAUAUCCAGGAUAUGCGGGACUCCAGUCUCUGAGUCGAAUGGCGAUGGCCCCGACCUGCGGAUUUUAUAAAUUGGGAUAGGAAGCCAGUUGGGCGUUGAAAGUUGAUAUCGAUCCGUGAAAAAGUCGAUACCCUGCGUGAGCAUAGGUCGGCAUAUGGGUGCUGCAAAUGCACCCGGCCCGAUUGCAGCGUUUUUCGAAAGCUGGCUCUGCGACCGUGACUGAGAUUACGUAUAUACUCAUGUACAUACAUAUCUAAUGUCUGGGGUCGCGGACCAGCCAGGGUGCUCGAUUCUGUGUGAUUGAUUGUGCGGAUUGUGUUAUAGGAACACUGGUGUAUCGACUUCUCUGCUCCACUAAGGGUGAACGGGAGCCCUACCGAAAGGCCUUCUGUUGCUAACUAUCACCGAACAAGACAUACGUGGCAGCAUAUUGAAUCCGUAUCCGUUCAAUGACACAUCGUCUCUGGAUUAGUAAUUGAACCAACGAGGUCGAAUCGAAUAACCUGCCAGUUGGUCGUAAACAUUAACUUUGUUCUUAUAUUCAGUUGUAAAGUCAAUACGGAAGAUAUAUUUCCACACCAACAAUGUGUCACUUAUGUUCUUAAAUACCUGAAACUGUUUAAAUUUUUUGUUUUUGUACACUUCACCAAUUAAGAAUUACCUGUACUGAUGUAAAUUUACUUGUCGAAUCACUACAAAAAUAGAAAAAAUGAAUAUCAAAAGAGCUCCUUAAUGGAAAAGCCACAGAAAAAGUGAAUAAAAAAUUCAAAAGUUCCAAAAAUAAAUCUCGAAACAUUUG